GCCAAACAGCUAGCUCAACCACCUAAUAACUAAACAAUGUAUAUAAAACAAAAUAAGCCUAACACCAAAAAUUAAACCAUUCUUUUACCUUAGUAUGGGAGACAGAAAAGGUCACACCUGGAGCAAUAGAGACAGUACCGCAAGGGAAAGCUGAAAGAGAAAUGAAAUAACUUAUAUAAGCACAAAAAAGCAAAGAUUAAAUCUUGUACCUUUCGCAUCAUGAUUUAGCCAGUAUACCCAAGCAAAGAGACCUUUAGUUUGAAACCCCGAAACCAGAUGAGCUACCCCGAGACAGCCUAUUAAGGGCCAACCCGUCUCUGUGGCAAAAGAGUGGGAAGAGCUCCGGGUAGAGGUGACAAAUCUACCGAACCUGGUGAUAGCUGGUUGCCUAAGAAGUGAAUAGAAGUUCAGCCUCGUACUCCCCUGAUCAAAGAAUAUAGAGAAGAUGCUAAAGGGCAAUACACGAGAGUUAGUUGAAGGGGGUACAGCCCCUUUAACAAAGGACACAACCUUCCCAGGAGGAUAAAGAUCAUAAUACAUAAAACAUCCUGUUCUAGUGGGCCUAAAAGCAGCCACCUAAACAGAAAGCGUUAAAGCUCAGACAGAAGCGAGUUUAUUAUUCCGACAAAAAAUCUUACUCCCCUUAAUACUAUUAGGCCAGCCCAUGCUCACAUGGGAGAGACUAUGCUAAAAUGAGUAACAAGAAGGCCUGCCCUUCUCCAAGCACAGCUGUAAGCCAAAUCGGACCAACCAUUGGCAAUUAACGAACUCAACCCAAGAGAGCAAUGUGGAUUGCAACAAAACCAAGAAGAACCCACAUAAGUCCAUCGUUACCCCCACACUGGCGUGCUAUUAAAGGAAAGACUAAAAGAAGGGGAAGGAACUCGGCAAACACAAGCCUCGCCUGUUUACCAAAAACAUCGCCUCCUGCAACGAAACCAAGUAUAGGAGGUCCAGCCUGCCCAGUGACGAUAAGUUUAACGGCCGCGGUAUUUUGACCGUGCAAAGGUAGCGUAAUCACUUGUCUCUUAAAUGGAGACCUGUAUGAAUGGCCAAACGAGGGCUUAACUGUCUCCCCCUUCCAGUCAGUGAAAUUGAUCUAUCCGUGCAGAAGCGGG
rnacentral:rRNA from 1 species